AAGGAGUUCAGGGUGGAAGUUGAGGCCAUUGGGAAAGUGAGACACAAAAACCUUGCGGGUCUUCUUGGUUAUUGUUCAGAAGGUGUUCAUAGGAUACUAGUGUAUGAGUACAUUGACAAUGGCAAUUUGGAGCAAUGGCUACACGGUGAUGUAGGGUCUGUUAGUCCUCUAACUUGGGAAAUCAGACUGAGAAUUGCAAUUGGAACUGCUCGAGGACUUGCCUAUUUGCACGAAGGUUUGGAACCCAAAGUUGUGCAUCGUGAUGUUAAAUCAAGUAAUAUUCUGUUGGAUAGGAAAUGGAAUCCAAAAGUAUCAGAUUUUGGACUUGCCAAGCUGCUAGGACCUGAGAAAAGCUAUGUGACUACCCGUGUUAUGGGAACUUUUGGAUAUGUUUCUCCUGACUAUGCCAGCACUGGUAUGCUUAAUGAGGGGAGCGACGUGUAUAGCUUUGGUGUAUGCUCAUGGAGAUAAUUACAGG
rnacentral:misc_RNA from 1 species